rnacentral:rRNA from 1 species
GAUGAACGCUGGCGGCGUGCCUAAUACAUGCAAGUCGAGCGAAUGGAUUAAGAGCUUGCUCUUAUGAAGUUAGCGGCGGACGGGUGAGUAACACGUGGGUAACCUGCCCAUAAGACUGGGAUAACUCCGGGAAACCGGGGCUAAUACCGGAUAACAUUUUGAACCGCAUGGUUCGAAAUUGAAAGGCGGCUUCGGCUGUCACUUAUGGAUGGACCCGCGUCGCAUUAGCUAGUUGGUGAGGUAACGGCUCACCAAGGCAACGAUGCGUAGCCGACCUGAGAGGGUGAUCGGCCAAACUGGGACUGAGACACGGCCCAGACUCCUACGGGAGGAAGCAGUAGGGAAUCUUCCGCAAUGGACGAAAGUCUGGCGGAGCAACGCCGCGUGGGUGAUGAAGGCUUUCGGGUCGUAAAACUCUGUUGUUAGGGAAGAACAAGUGCUAGUUGAAUAAGCUGGCACCUUGACGGUACCUAACCAGAAAGCCACGGCUAACUACGUGCCAGCCGCCGCAGUAA